rnacentral:rRNA from 1 species
GACGUAGGGCGCGAGCGUUGUCCGGAUUUAUUGGGCGUAAAGAGCUCGUAGGCGGCUUGUCGCGUCGUGUGUGAAAUCUCAGGGCUCAACUCUGACAUUGCAUACGAUACGGGCAGGCUUGAGUUCGGUAGGGGAGACUGGAAUUCCUGGUGUAGCGGUGAAAUGCGCAGAUAUCAGGAGGAACACCGGUGGCGAAGGCGGGUCUCUGGGCCGAUACUGACGCUCAUGCACGAAAGCGUGGGGAGCAAACAGG